AAUAGAGUGCCUGAGAAAAAGGGCUAACUUGAUAGGUUAGAUAAUGAAAUAUUUCAAUUUCAUUA
rnacentral:tRNA from 1 species